AAUGGGCGUGUGAUGAAUCUCAUAUCGUAAAUGGGUAAUUUGCGUCUGAAUUAUCAUUGAUGCUAUAUCACCUUGGAGAACUGAUGCCCACA
rfam:Cajanus cajan chromosome 11, whole genome shotgun sequence.